AGUUCCUACGGGGCGCAGCAGUGGGGGAUAUUGCACAAUGGGGGGAACCCUGAUGCAGCAACGCCGCGUGAGUGAAGAAGGCCUUCGGGUUGUAAAGCUCUUUAAUCAGGGACGAAGAAUGACGGUACCUGACUAAGAAGCCCCGGCUAAAUACGUGCCAGCAGCCGCGGUAAUACGUAUGGGGCAAGCGUUAUCCGGAUUUACUGGGUGUAAAGGGAGCGUAGGCGGCCUGGCAAGCCUGGUGUGAAAUACCGGGGCCCAACCCCGGGGCUGCAUUGGGAACUGCCAGGCUGGAGUGCCGGAGG
rnacentral:rRNA from 1 species